UACCAGACUCCUACGGGAGGCAGCAGUGGGGAAUAUUGCACAAUGGGGGAAACCCUGAUGCAGCAACGCCGCGUGAGUGAAGAAGUCAUUCGUGAUGUAAAGCUCUAUCAGCAGGGAAGAAAAUGACGGUACCUGACUAAGAAGCCCCGGCUAACUACGUGCCAGCAGCCGCGGUAAUACGUAGGGGGCAAGCGUUAUCCGGAAUUACUGGGUGUAAAGGGAGCGUAGACGGUUAAGUAAGUCUGGAGUGAAAGGCCGGGGCCCAACCCCGGGACUGCUCUGGAAACUAUUCAACUUGAGUGCAGGAGAGGUAAGCGGAAUUCCUAGUGUAGCGGUGAAAUGCGUAGAUAUUAGGAGGAACACCAGUGGCGAAGGCGGCUUACUGGACUGUAACUGACGUUGAGGCUCGAAAGCGUGGGGAGCAAACAGGAUUAGAUACCCGAGUA
rnacentral:rRNA from 1 species